AGAAAAUAACUUUGCACCAGUCUUCUGCAGGCCAAUCCUUGUAUGUCCUGGAGUAUUUUAGUAUUUCCUUGGCUUCUUUGGUGGCCUUCUUGACACCUGGCUGCUGUCAACACCAGGUUCUCAUACCAUCCUGCUGCCAUUCCUGAGAAAAGAUCUGCCUCCCUGGAGACACGAUUCCAUAGCUGACCCCUCAGGAGGAGACAGUCCUGGCAUUUGCUGGACACUCUGGGACAUCCUGAAGACUUCUUCACUGCAGUUGAACCUCUCUCCUUGAAGUUCUUGAUUCGCUUUCGUCGACAGAAGGUUCUACCGCAGGAACACCAGGAGGGCCAUUAUCCGACACAGCUCCCUCUGCUAUGUCAGGCGACACCUCCUCCCUGCCCCAGAGGGUUCUGGUCUGACCCCUUUCCAGUGCAUCCUCGGAUACCAACCCACUAUGUUCCUGUGGUCUUGCAAACCAUCAUCACUCCCUGCUGUGGAUGACUGGAUUCGUCGUAGCGAGAGGGUUUGGGACAGCGCUCACGUCCGCCUCCAACGAGCUGUCAGAGUACAGGAACUCCAGGAUAACAAGCAACGUCAGCCACACCCUCCCUACCAACCAGGAGAACGGGUCUGGCUCUCUACACAGGAUCUCAAGUUGUGGCUACCAAGUAGGAAGCUCAGCCCAAGAUGCUGACCCCAAUCAUGAGACUCUAGAUCGCCGCCACUGGACAUUGAUGGAGCGCCGGCCUACAAGGUCAAGCUGUCACUCGACUCUAGAAGGAGAGGGGGUCAGCUCCAAUAUUUGGUAGACUGGGAGGGCUAUGGACCUGAGGAGAGGUCAUGGGUAGCCGCCAGCGACAUUCUGGAUCCGUCUCUCAGGGAGGACUUCCAUCGAGCCAGACCCGAUCGACCAGCACCACGACCACGGGGACGUCCGCACCGAGUGCCAGGAGGCACUCAUAGGGAGGGGGAUUCUGUAACCCCACGCCACAGCUGGAGCUCUCACCUGAGUAUUGACUGUUCACCACUACCUCUGCUUCUACAGUCAUUUCCUGUUUGAGACUAUUUAACAUGAGUCAGCAUGUUACUUCACUGUGAAGUAUUGCCAGUUUACCUGCCUUACCGACUGUUUUCCUUGUGAUUAUUCUGACUGCCUGUUUAUUUACGAUUCUGCCUGUUUCCUUGUUCACGUCUCUUGGAAUGCCCCAUUGGAUUUACUGCAUGAUUGGACUGAUGUUUGUGUUUGACCUGUUUGCCUGCCUACUCGUCAGAGGAGAACUGGCCCCCCAACUGAGCCUGGUUUCUCCCAAGGUUUUUAUCCCCUUUCUGUCACCGAUGGAGAUUCG